GGAACUGGGUUACUGUCCCUUUAAGGAUUGUUUGUCACUAAAGCCUGGCAGGGUGGACACUGCUGGCCUAAGGGAACCAGCCACUCCCAAACGGUCCCUCCCCCACCUUCACCCACAAGAGCAACAGGCAGACACUCUGGGGACCCUCUCUGGGGACUAACGUGCUGACAGAGAGGCAGGUCUGUUCCACCACCCCACCCAUUUCACAGGUGAGGAAACAGACUCAGCGACCCAGCAUCCGUGGAGGCAGGCACAGCUAUGAGGGUCCCCAAGGGACUCACGAACCCCACAGAAAACAAGGGUUGACGGCAAGAAGCGGUGACAAUGUCACUUGGGAGAGCUCUUCCCCGCCUGGAGUUGUUAAACCCUGCCCCAUCGGAGUGGGGUUACAACUGAGGCCACAUACACCCCUGCGCCCAAGUGAAGACUGGACUGAACCUGAAACCCAGGCACGUGCCCUAACCAGGAAUCAAACCCGCCAUCUUUCGGUUUGCGGGACCACGCUCCAACCCACUGAGCCACACCAGCCGGGGCUGACUGACUUAUCACUCAGCAACAUCAUUCUGAGACUCGCCCGUGUGGAGCAGGCAUCCGUAGUUCUCUCCUUGGCAUGGAGGACCCAGAGCUGGUCGAUCCGCGCAGCUGCCGUUGAACAUCCAGGCUGUCUGCAGGGUCUGCCUCAGCGGCUCGGGUGGAGAGUGAGUUCAAACCACGACGCAGUGAGCGCGGCCCCAUCUGAGAGGCGCACUUUCACAGGCCUCGCGCGGUGAGCCUGUCAAAGCGGCUUCGGUCACAGAACCCUUUGGGAACCUGAGCUGUUGACACCCCCACUUGGUAGAGGACGUCAGCCCUGCAAACCCCCCUGGAUGUGGGGGAGCCCUGCUGCUGCCCAACCCCCUUCACCACAUGGUUGACAGGAUCCAGCCCAGGGCACAAGUCCCCACCUGCAGGGUGACCUCUGUCACACACCGCUACUCAGCUGCUCGGGCGUGAGGUGCGGUGCAGCUGCUGGAUGCUCACCGCCACCUGGCUGAGCAGGAGCUCCCUGUGGCUCAGGACACAGCCUGGGACUCGGCCCUUCGCGGCUCCAGGCCCCCUGUCUGAGUCAGGGCCCGCAGUGCCCUUAGGCUCCCUCCUUCCACACACAUAUACACAUAGAAAAGCCGCUUUUCUGCGGGGGGAGCUAGGUUUGUGACAACCCCCCCAGCUGCGCGAAGAGGGUCUGGGCCCAGGCCAGCUCUGUGCACUCAUCUGGGCCUCGCGGGGCUUUCCCUUCUUGCCCUGUAGAAGGAAGUAGGCAGCCAAGUUAGCACCUUUCAGGUGCCCAGGCAGGGGACACCAGGAGCCCUGCAGCCACAGGAAAUGACCACCAGGGGGCGGAGGAGCCAACAUUGCUCAUGACAGCCAGUGCCUGGGCGCUGUGGCCCCAACUCCCCCAACCUGCCCUUCUUGGGGUCAGUCCCCAACCCUCAGCACACACUUUCCCAGGGAGGGAUGGAGGUCCUCCCUCCCGUCUGGGUCUUGGGCUUCCUGCCUCUCACAUGCAGCACACAGGUGUUCCAGAGGAAAGCUCUGGAAUGUGAGUCACUCGGUAGGUAGGCAGGACGAGGGACUGUUCCUACAGCUGCCUGGGGUUCUCAGGUGAUGCUUCAUCCAGACAAGGCUGAAGCCCCCCCCCCCUUCCAGGAGCCCCUCAGGGACAAGCCUCCAGGCUCCCAGCACAGGCCCGUCUCAGCUGCUAGCCUCCUGCCUGCCCCCACCUGGGCUCCAUCUGCCCCUCUGCCCCUCUGGGCCCAACUUUCCAGAAAAAAAAGGAAUCUCCAGCAUCAGAAAAGGGUAUCUGACAGCAAUAAAUUUAUUAAGUAUCCCCCGAAAUAUGAACACAAACCAGUAAAAAAUAAAUAAAUAAAAUAAAACUUCAGGCCUAGAACUGACAAAGCAGAGACGAAUGGGCCACACACAAACGGGAAGGACCUACGGUGGGAAGACAGAGUUGAGUGCCGCAGAUACUGAGGGACGGACACUCGGGAGCCCUGGGGUGGGGUGACGGGGGCUGGUGGGGCGAGGCUGGGGCGGCGUCAGGGCCUGCGCGGCUCUGGGGCAGACCUCUGGCCGUGGCCUGGCCCCCCAGGGCCUCACUUGGGGCCCUGGGCCUCAGACUCCUCCUCGUCGUCUUCGUACAUCUCGCCCUCCUCCUCGGCCGUGGCGUCCUGGUACUGCUGGUACUCGGACACCAGGUCGUUCAUGUUGCUCUCGGCCUCGGUGAACUCCAUCUCGUCCAUGCCCUCGCCCGUGUACCAGUGCAGGAAGGCCUUGCGCCGGAACAUGGCCGUGAACUGCUCCGAGAUGCGCUUGAACAGCUCCUGGAUGGCCGUGCUGUUGCCGAUGAAGGUGGAGGACAUCUUGAGCCCCCGGGGCGGGAUGUCGCAGACGGCCACCUUCACGUUGUUGGGGAUCCACUCCACGAAGUAGCUGCUGUUCUUGCUCUGGAUGGCCAGCAUCUGCUCGUCCACCUCCUUCAUGGACAUGCGGCCCCGGAAGACGGUGGCCACCGUCAGGUAGCGGCCGUGGCGGGGGUCGCAGGCGGCCAUCAUGUUCUUGGCGUCGAACAUCUGCUGGGUGAUGGAGUCACUCACCAAAGAUGAAGUUGUCAGGUCUGAAGAGGUGUCCGAAGGCCCCGGACCGGACGCUGUCCAUGGUUCCAGGCUCCAAGUCCACCAGGAUAGCCCGAGGCACAUAUUUGUGAGCUGAGGGGAGGGGGUGGGUCAAGUGCAUUCUAGAGGCUCAGGGGCUCCUCCGGCCCUUGAAGCUCUGCCCCGCCUCCCAGCCACGUGCUCUGACCCCAUGAGGGACAUGGGGAUGGACACCCUGGAUGGCCAGGGCCAGUUCCAGGGUCCACAUGGGCAGGUGAGCAUUUCUCCAGUUGAACAUGGACAUUGUUCUACACCAGGUGCUAAACAGCCCUGGCCCCAGCCCUCCAGGUGGCCCUGCUCUGGGCCUGCCCAUGGGACUCUGAGGGGACCACCAGGACCUGUAUAGGGUCCUGAAGCCCUGUCUGUUCCCUGUCUGGUGGUUAAGAGCAUGUUUGAACCCCACUGUGGUGAGAGUCUCGGGUUACACCCGCCACACCCCAGUGGGAGGGCAGGUCCCCGGGCCCAGCGCAGCUGCCCUCCCAGCCCCUGGGACGUGUCGGGGUGCUCACAGGAGGCCUCGUUGUAGUAGACGCUGAUGCGCUCCAGCUGCAGGUCCGAGUCCCCCACAUAGUUGCCGCUGGGGUCGAUGCCGUGCUCAUCGCUGAUGACCUCCCAGAACUGCGGGGGGACGGAGUGGUCAGUCGGGGACCGCAACCCCCACAAGAGCCUUUCCCCGGGUGGCCACAAAGCCCUGGGUGCAAAAUUUGGGGCUUGGACCCCAAACACUAGCUCCUUGGAGAGACUUUGGAAAGAGCCCCAAGCUCUGUCACCUGUCAUGGACAUGUCAUGAGCAUGACAUCACAUCUGCACACCCAUGGUUACAGGAGGCCCCGGGGUGGUUCAAGGCCCAGCUGACCCGGCCCAGCUCCGCACUUGCUGCUCAGUUAAUAAGAAACCACCUUCUUUGGGUGGCUCUUAUUACUCCCUUUUCAGAUGAGGAAAUGGGGGCACAGAGAAGGGGAGAGUCCAAGGUAUUUGAGCCACUCAGUGCCAGGGCAGAGGAUAUCCAGGGACAGGGUCCAGCAGUGCCCGGAACAUCGGCAGCCUCGGCUCUAGGAACCACAGGGCUGGGGUGGGGAGUGACUCGCCUGGGUGGCCCCCCCGACCCUGCGAGGCUGGCACAGCCUUAAAUCCUGGAGCCUGUGUGUCCCUGGCUGCAGCAGGCAGGGGAGCAGCCACGGCCUCCACUCGGGUGGGACCACCGCUUCCCAGCUAUGUGACCUCGGGCAGGUCCCAAGGAUGCUCACUGCACCUGGGUCUCUGGGCAGCAGGCCCCGGCCGCUGCGAGAACACGCCGAGUCAUCUGCGCAGCUCACGUGGACAACGAGGGGAGCCUGAGUGCUGCGUGGCACCAUCAGCAUGAGUGUCCACGUGAGGACACACCCUGGCUGCACUGAGCUCUGCCCUCCACCCAGGGCGCUCCCACUGUGCAG